rnacentral:piRNA from 1 species
UCAUUUCCCAACUCAUCGACG